UGCUUCGCGCAGCAGCAGUAUGGUAGCCCGUGAGGUUCAUCCAAGGCACCAUUAUUGCUAAUUGAGAUAUUGGGGAGGGGGAACAACAGUUCUUUGAAAAAAGAAAAGAAAUUUCAAAGACUUUUUAAGAAAA
rnacentral:snRNA from 1 species